UACGUAGGGUGCAAGCGUUAAUCGGAAUUACUGGGCGUAAAGCGUGCGCAGGCGGUUGUGGAAGACAGAUGUGAAAUCCCCGGGCUUAACCUGGGAAUUGCAUUUGUGACUGCACGGCUAGAGUGUGUCAGAGGGGGGUAGAAUUCCACGUGUAGCAGUGAAAUGCGUAGAUAUGUGGAGGAAUACCGAUGGCGAAGGCAGCCCCCUGGGAUAACACUGACGCUCAUGCACGAAAGCGUGGGUAGCAAACAGG
rnacentral:rRNA from 1 species